UAGCUAGGUCUAUGCAACAGAGAAUCACGAACUCCGCCAGGCCUGGAAGGGAGCAACGGUAGUGACACUCUCUGUGUGCGUAGGUUGCCUAGCUACCAU
rnacentral:SRP_RNA from 21 species